rnacentral:rRNA from 1 species
GCCCAGACUCCUACGGGAGGCAGCAGUGGGGAAUAUUGCACAAUGGGGGAAACCCUGAUGCAGCAACGCCGCGUGAGUGAAGAAGUCAUUCGUGAUGUAAAGCUCUCUCAGUAGGGAAGAAAAUGACGGUACCUGAGUAAGAAGCCCCGGCUAACUACGUGCCAGCAGCCGCGGUAAUACGUAGGGGGCAGGCGUUAUCCGGAAUUACUGGGUGUAAAGGGUGAGUAGGCGGCAUGGUAAGCCAGAUGUGAAAGCCUUGGGCUUAACCCGAGGAUUGCAUUUGGAACUAUCAAGCUAGAGUACAGGAGAGGAAAGCGGAAUUCCUAGUGUAGCGGUGAAAUGCGUAGAUAUUAGGAAGAACACCAGUGGCGAAGGCGGCUUUCUGGACUGAAACUGACGCUGAGGCACGAAAGCGUGGGGAGCGAACAGGAUUAGAUACCCUCGUA